UGAAGACUGAGAGAUGGGAUUGGACGAGAAGAACCCUUCUUGCUUUCUGCACUCUUACAGUGUUGUCAUGGUACUCCGCAAGGCUGCUCUCAGGCAGCUAGCUAAGAAUAAGGUCCCUAAUAUGGCUGUCGUCUUGAAGAGUAUCACACACAACACAUGCAGAUGCAAGGGCCGUCUUCAGAGAUCCCACAGGUGAGAUGCAGGGCACGGUUCAUCGUCGCCUGGUAGAGGAAAGACUGGGAGAGCUCAAGACAGGAGCUGUG